rnacentral:rRNA from 1 species
UACGUAGGGUCCGAGCGUUGUCCGGAAUUAUUGGGCGUAAAGGGCUCGUAGGCGGUCUGUCGCGUCGGGAGUGAAAACUUACAGCUUAACUGUGAGCGUGCUUCCGAUACGGGCAGACUUGAGGUAUUCAGGGGAGAACGGAAUUCCUGGUGUAGCGGUGAAAUGCGCAGAUAUCAGGAGGAAUACCCAUAGCGAAGGCAGCUCGCUGGGACGGUACUGACGCUGAGGCGCGAAAGCGUGGGGAGCGAACAGG